rnacentral:rRNA from 1 species
UACGAAGGGGGCUAGCGUUGUUCGGAUUUACUGGGCGUAAAGGGCGCGUAGGCGGGCGACUAAGUCAGGGGUGAAAUCCCAAGGCUCAACCUUGGAACUGCCUUUGAUACUGGUUGUCUUGAGUCCGGGAGAGGUGAGUGGAACUGCGAGUGUAGAGGUGAAAUUCGUAGAUAUUCGCAAGAACACCAGUGGCGAAGGCGGCUCACUGGCCCGGAACUGACGCUGAGGCGCGAAAGCGUGGGGAGCAAACGGG